rnacentral:SRP_RNA from 1 species
GAUUGGUGACGGGCAAGUUGCUCGCCAACCCGGUCAGGUCCGGAAGGAAGCAGCCGUAACGAGAUUCGCUUGGGUCGUCCGCCAGUCUCC